AUUGAACGCUGGCGGCAGGCCUAACACAUGCAAGUCGAGCGGAGCGGCGGACGGGUGAGUAAUGCCUAGGAAUCUUCCUGGUAGUGGGGGAUAACGUCCGGAAACGGGCGCUAAUACCGCAUACUAUCAGAUGAGCCUAGGUCGGAUUAGCUAGUUGGUGGGGUAAAGGCCUACCAGGGCGACGAGCCGUAACUGGUCUGAGAGGAUGAUCAGUCACACGGUAACUGAGACAAGGUCCAGACUCCGACGGGAGGAAGGGGGGGGGAAAAUUGGACAAUGGGCGAAAGCCUGAUACAGCCAUGCCGCGUGUGUGAAGAAGGUCUUCGGAGUGUAAAGCACUAUCAGCGGGGAGGCGUUACCCGCAGAAGAAGCACCGGCUAACUCCGUGCCAGCAGCCGCGGUAAUUC
rnacentral:rRNA from 1 species